UACGUAGGGGGCAAGCGUUGUCCGGAAUCAUUGGGCGUAAAGCGCGCGUAGGCGGCCCGGUAAGUCCGUUGUGAAAGUCAAAGGCUCAACCUUUGAAUGCCGAUGGAUACUGUCGGGCUAGAGUCCGGAAGAGGCGAGUGGAAUUCCUGGUGUAGCGGUGGAAUGCGCAGAUAUCAGGAGGAACACCGAUAGCGAAGGCAGCUCGCUGGGACGGUACUGACGCUGAGACGCGAAAGCGUGGGGAGCAAACAGG
rnacentral:rRNA from 1 species